AAGCCCUACGGGGGGCAGCAGUGAGGAAUAUUGGUCAAUGGGCGCGAGCCUGAACCAGCCAAGUCGCGUGAGGGAAGACGGUCCUAUGGAUUGUAAACCUCUUUUGUCGGGGAGCAAAAGACGCCACGCGUGGCGUUCCGAGAGUACCCGAAGAAAAAGCAUCGGCUAACUCCGUGCCAGCAGCCGCGGGAAUACGGAGGAUGCGAGCGUUAUCCGGAUUUAUUGGGUUUAAAGGGUGCGCAGGCGGAGGAUGAAGUCAUCGGUAAAAUAGAGAGGCUCAAACUCUUCGAGCCGGUGAAACUGGU
rnacentral:rRNA from 1 species